GACGGAGGAUGCAACCGUCAUCCGGAAUUAUUGGGCGUAAAGCGUCCGCAGGUGGCUAAUUAAGUCUGCUGUUAAAGUCCAGGGCUUAACUCUGGGAAGGCGGUGGAAACUGGAUAGCUUGAGUGCGACAGGGGUAGAGGGAAUUCCCAGUGUAGCGGUGAAAUGCGUAGAUAUUGGGAAGAACACCAGUGGCGAAGGCGCUCUACUGGGUCGCAACUGACACUCAUGGGCGAAAGCUAGGGGAGCGAAAGGG
rnacentral:rRNA from 1 species